CAUGAUCGAAAUGUUGUUCAUAGGUGAGUUAAAGUGAUUGUAUACUUUUUAUCAUGUGUUUUACCCAUGGUUUUAAUGUUUUUGAUUCUCGCACCAGAUUUUUUACUUUUAUGGUGCUUCAAAUAUGUGUUGCUUAUGUUUACCUCUUUAUCUUUGAUACUAAUCAUCUCAACUCAAUCAGGCAUUAAUCCCAACUUAAAGCCUGUUUUGGCAUUGAGGUUGAAAGUUGAAACCCUCUUUUUGGAAUUGUAUCCUUUCCUUUUAGAUGCUGGAUGCUGCUGAAAAGAGCGGUAUGAAAGAGCUGUUUAGCUGUUUUUGAGAUUUUAUGAUUGAAACAUGUCAAAUUUAAUAUAAAAUUAAUUUUGAAUAUCCUCAAACUAACAUAUUUAAGGUAAUGCAUUUCACAACAGUAGUUCAAGCAAUAAUGUCAAACAAACCCUUAGUUGGGGUCAGCCAUAUGGAUUAUUCAUUUUAUUCCAUUUUAUUCAGGGCUACAUCUUUAGAGAUGGCUAGUUGCCUUGAGUUUUUGAUUUUUUAUUUCACCUCAUGUCCUCCUUGGUCUACACCUCAUAUUCUUCUUCCUUUUUGUUACUUCAAUAUGCUUGACCUUCUGUACUUGUUUGCUGAUAUCAAUCAUUUGUCAUGUAAUUGUCAUGCUUCAAGAAUUAUUAGAUUUCUUUGAUCAAAGGUAGUUUUUUCCCCUUUGACAUUGUUAUUUGGCUGGCAUAUGACCUUGUCUUUUCAUGUUAUUUCCUUUUUUAAGGAUAAUAGGAUUUCUAUACCACGAUGCUGUACAAUGCCUGUCAGCCCUUUUCUAUCACCUUCUGGAACUUUGUCUUCAUAGUACUGAAUUAACUUUUGAGAGCUCUAAGGAUGCCUUUGUUACUGUUCUGGGUUGCGUUCUUGUGUGACAUUUGGUCUUUUAAAUUUUCCCUUAUUUAUUUUUCAUUUUUUUCCAGACAAUGAACAGAGCAAGGAUGAAGUAUGAUAGAGAGGGGUGUGAAUUCUUCGUAUCUUUUUUUCCUUCGAUUUUUAUUGUUCAUGGUUGGCUUGAUGCUAACAAUUCAUUUGCUGGAUUGCAUUUUUUUGGGCUUCUUUUUUCACGAUUUUAUUUUAUUUUGUUUCUUUUUGUAUGUUUAUUCAAGUAAAUCUUGAUAUAUGUUUUAAGAUACAGAAGUUAUUUGCAGUUGACUUAUGUACACACCAUGGACACACAUACUAGCAUAUAUAAUUCUGAAAUUUCAAUCUCAUUGCAUUUUCUUCGGGCUUUUAGGGAUAUCAAAUGUGCAAAUAUAUUGGUAGAUGCUAAUGGAUCAGUGAAGCUUGCAGAUUUUGGAUUAGCGAAGGCGACAAAAUUGAAUGAUGUUAAAUCUUGCAAGGGGACUGCAUUUUGGAUGGCACCUGAGGUUGUCAAUAGGAGAAAUCAGGGUUAUGGGCUUCCAGCUGAUAUAUGGAGUCUUGGAUGCACUGUUUUGGAGAUGUUAACCCGUCAGAUUCCAUAUUCUCAUUUGGAAUGUAUGCAGGCAUUAUUUAGGAUUGGCAGGGGUGAGCCACCACGUGUUCCUGAUUCUCUUUCACAAGAUGCACAAGAUUUUAUUUUGCAAUGCCUACGAGUCAAUCCCAAUGAUCGUCCUACUGCUGCUCAGCUCUUAGAUCAUUCAUUUGUAAGACGGUCACUUUCCACAUCAUCGUCAGGUUCUGCGUCACCUUACAUUGGCCGAAAGUUUUAGAAGCUUUUGCUCAGCAACAACUCUGACAGUUAGUUCUGUCCAUGGCAAAGCGUGCAGGACCUGUUUAUGAUGUUUGCAUAGACGUGGAGCAACUUGUUUUUGAACACAGUUUGGCAGCCAUUAAUUUUUUGUUGCAUAAACUCAAAGUCUGCGAGCUUGGUAUAAAUUAAUGAAGAUUCAAAUUUGAAAUGAUGUGCAGGAUCUGGCCUUGGAUCUUUACCUUCAUGACAUCAGAGUGGUAACUUGAUCCAUGCGUCCUGCACUGAGAAUUUCUGCAUUAUAGAUCUGACGGUUAAUAUGUACGUAGUUGUCUGCUGUGGAAAGAUAAUCUCCUGAUACCGCGUUGUUCAAAAUUGCUAGUCUUUGCCUUUGAUUAUUAUUUUUUGAAUGUGGGAAGAUUUGUGGGAGCAAGGUGUGAGAUCAAGUGUUGUAAGAAGUAGGGAACAGACGCCAUUGUGUAUAUAUCCCAUUAUUGUAGUAAAUGUCAGUAAGGUUUUAGUUAUGUACUACUAACAGCUUUUGUAAAAUGUAUUCUACAUGAAUAUAUUGAUUCUAAAUUAUUUCUUUGCCGUGG
rnacentral:misc_RNA from 1 species